rnacentral:rRNA from 1 species
UACGGAAGGCAGCAGUGGGGAAUAUUGCACAAUGGGCGAAAGCCUGAUGCAGCUAUGCCGCGUGUAUGAAGAAGGCCUUAGGGUUGUAAAGUACUUUCAUCGGGGAGGAAAAACAAAACUAAUAAUUUUAUUUCUUGACGUUACCCGAAAAAGAAGCACCGGCUAACUCCGUGCCAGCAGCCGCGGUAAUACGGAGGGUGCUAGCGUUAAUCAGAAUUACUGGGCGUAAAGAGCACGUAGGUGGUUUUUUUAAGUCAGAUGUGAAUCCCUGGGCUUAACCUGGAACUGCAUUUUGAAACUGAAAUACUAGAGUAUCGUAGAGGGAGGUAGAAUUCUAGGUGUAGCGGUGAAAUGCGUAGAUAUCUGGAGGAAUACCUGUGGCGAAAGCGGCCUCCUAAACGAAUACUGACACUGAGGUGCGAAAGCGUGGGGAGCAAACAGGGAUUAGAUACC